GGAAAUGAGAAAGGGCUUAUUGGAGACGGUACUGCUGGAAGAUAUUUCUCCAUUUCACUUCUAACCUAAAAGGAAAUAAACAAGAUCAAUUGGGACCAAUUCUACGUGUUUCAGUCAAAUUUUGGAAAUAUAUGACAGUUUCAAGUCAUUGUUCAAAUGAUGUGUAUUGCGAAAAAGUGUAAUUGGAUAAUGAAG